UACAGAGGGUGCUAGCGUUGUUCGGAAUCAUUGGGCGUAAAGGGCGUGUAGGCGGUUUUGUUAAGUCAUGUGUGAAAUCCCUCGGCUCAACCGGGGAACGACGCAUGAAACUGGCAAGCUAGAGUACCAAAGAGGGGGGUGGAAUUCCCGGUGUAGCGGUGAAAUGCGUAGAUAUCGUAAGGAAGACCAGUGGCGAAGGCGGGUCUCUGGACAGUUCCUGACGCUGAGGCACGAAGGCCAGGGGAGCAAACGGG
rnacentral:rRNA from 1 species